CCCGCCCCCGCCAGCAGUCGGAGCGCGCUCAUUGGCCGCCGGUCCAGAGCGCGGUGCCCAGUGGCUGGGGCGGACCGUCCGUCGGCGGCAGCAGGGUAGUGCGGCUCGCUCCGAGGGGCCACGUGGGGGCCGGGGCCGGGCGGCCGGGCCCGGGUUCCGGCUCGGGGCGGGCCGGGCCGGCGGAGGGGAUCCGGGGAUGGUGAGCCAAGACAUAAAAGAAUUGCUAGGAAAUGUCUCAUAGGAGGCUGCUUCGGGACCGAGGUCAUUCAGCCAGUGGUGAGCCCGCUGUGACCCACUCAGCAAGGCCUGGGGCACACUGCCGUGCUUACUCCCUGUGGUUCUCAGACUUCAGCCGACAGGGGAAUCAUCUGGAGAGCUUGCUGAGCCCGGCUUCCCUGGCCACCGCCCCUGCUUCCUGGUUGGCAGGUGUGGGGUGGAGCCUGGGGUUCUGCUCCCAGCAGGUCUCUCGCAGAAGUCCACACUUUUGAGUAGCACUACUUACAAGGUUCUCUGGGCUUUCUCCCUUACUCUUCAAGGUCCAACCCAAAUGUACCUUUCAUGAGGCCUCCUCAGUAGAAAAUCAUUUCUCGCUCUUAAAAAUUCCUAUCUGUCCGUUUUUUGUUUUUUUUUUAAAUAAAUAGCAGAGACUCCACCAUGU